AUACAUAUACACAUAGAUAUAUAUAUGUGUGUGUGUAUAUAUAUACACACACACAUGUAUAUAUCUAUGUGUAUAUGUAUA
rnacentral:pre_miRNA from 17 species